CGUUAAUGUUUCGCCUUUCCGCUGGCAGCUGACGACCGUCAGUAGGAUUGUGCAUCUACCAGUGCCCCUUGCAACAUGCGGUCGCAUGCUGCAGCAACGAUUUGUGGUGAAGCUUGAGCGGAUGAUUCAGAAUUUCCAUUUUCUGUGUCCGCAUCCCAUGUUUGUAUCCUGGGAGCUGUACCGAAUACUAUUUCACCAAGUGCGUCACCAACUAGUGGAUCGCCAACCAAAUCGGUGGAACACACGAGACGUCCGUCCAAAGAUAUUUGCUAAUCGUCGUCAUCGGACCAAGUUGGUUCACAAAAGAAGGUGUUAUAAUCGAAUUAAAUAAAAAAAUGUGUUCCAGACACGUCUAGAAGACGUUUCUAAGCUAUUGAUACCCCCGCAAAUCACCUUUGAAGCCAGUUCCACAACAUCUUCCCUGAUAUCAGACGCGUUUACAUAGCUAGGACGAAACCAGAGACAACAAAGGCCCUUAACUAUAACUUGAACACGACAAAGCAGCAUCGAGCCACAACGAUGACCGCCUCUCGCUGUUCGACAUCUUGGAUCUUGAGCACGCGUCAUAAGCUCAACGGUUCAGGCAUCGAUUAACUUCGAAUGUAUCGAAAUUUGUUGGCAUUACUCGUGUCAUCGGUGAGCUGCGGUUCGAGGAAGAUAAAAAUGAUGGACCAGUGAAUAGUGAAGACUUACGCACGCUUGUUACUACUGGGCCAUCAAGGAGCCAACCGCAGUAAGGAUGUGCAAGAAGUGAAAUAGUCGCGGGGAUCCCUCUGGAUUCCACAUUGUGAAUCUCCGUAAAGUUAUCAUGCACGGCAAUUGAACUCUCAGAGAGGUCGUAUUGGAAUUCAACUCGUGCGGUGUGAUCAUGUAGGGUUUCAUUCCUGCCUAGGCAGAUAUACGAUUAAUGUGAUGCUAUGCAGACAACCAUGUGUACUAAAGAAGCUCAUCAAGGAUAUGAACUAGGACCCGUCUAUAAGGUUUCGACGAAACAUAUCAACACUCUGGAAAAGUUGUGGAAGGAAAACGUGGAUACAAUUUGGAGAAAUACACCAUUGAUAGAAAGUCAUCAUCCUAUUUUAUGGCUAUCAGCAUUACAAUAUUAUCGAUCCUCUGGUGAAGCUCAAAGCAGAUAAUGACAUAUACUCUUAUAAAGGAGCGACUUGAAGUUAGUGUAUAGUGAUGAGUUGAGGUUGCUAUACAGGCGAACUGCACAGACUUAGGAACUGUAUGGGUUAUACCAUUCAAGGUCCCUAUAUUUACGGACAUCACCAGGAACUGAUCGACUGCCAUUCACAUUCAGCUGUGUAUUUUAUGUAGAAGUGCAUGACUCAAAAAAAUAAAUGUGAUUUUUUUCGGCAUCAUUAUCGUCGAUUUGGUUUAAAUCAAUAAGACUGUCAACAUAUUGAGGUUUGGUUCGGACUUUAUCAAAUCUACGGAAUUUCGUUCGGCAAUCCAGGUCCCGUCAAUAGCACGAUAAACUGCUAAAGAAACUAUAUCCUCCGUAAUCACGACCCCUUCAGACACAUUUGGCCAAAACUAGCUAAGGCAGAUUAUCAACGGUCGGGAUGUUUAAGAACAUAUCGAAUAAAUUUCUGCAGAUAAUACAGCAGUAACAGACGUUGCAGUGGUCAAUCAAGCCAAGCGUAUUAAGCCGUAGACCGCGAAAUUGGCCUCACAUCGAGGCAACAGUUUCUCUCUACAGCUUUGGUAACCGGUAGUCCCCGGAAUCAAUGUUAUAGU